ACGGGAGGCAGCAGUCGGGAAUAUUGCGCAAUGGAGGAAACUCUGACGCAGUGACGCCGCGUAUAGGAAGAAGGUUUUCGGAUUGUAAACUAUUGUCGUUAGGGAAGAAAAAAGACAGUACCUAAGGAGGAAGCACCGGCUAACUAUGUGCCAGCAGCCGCGGUAAUACAUAGGGUGCAAGCGUUAUCCGGAUUUAUUGGGUGUAAAGGGUGCGUAGAUGGGAAUUUAAGUUAGUUGUGAAAUCCCCCGGCUUAACUGGGGAACUGCAACUAAAACUGAAUUUCUUGAGUGCUGGAGGGGAAAGUGGAAUUCCUAGUGUAGCGGUGAAAUGCGUAGAUAUUAGGAGGAACACCGGUGGCGAAGGCGACUUUCUGGACAGUAACUGACAUUGAUGCACGAAAGUGUGGGGAGCAAACAGGAUUAGAUACCCUGGUA
rnacentral:rRNA from 1 species